rnacentral:rRNA from 1 species
UACGUAGGGUGCGAGCGUUAAUCGGAAUUACUGGGCGUAAAGCGUGCGCAGGCGGUUUUGUAAGCCAGAUGUGAAAUCCCCGGGCUCAACCUGGGAACUGCAUUUGUGACUGCAUAGCUAGAGUACGGUAGAGGGGGAUGGAAUUCCGCGUGUAGCAGUGAAAUGCGUAGAUAUGCGGAGGAACACCAAUGGCGAAGGCAAUCCCCUGGACCUGUACUGACGCUCAUGCACGAAAGCGUGGGGAGCAAACAGG